rnacentral:tRNA from 1 species
GCCAGUGUGGCUCAGUGGAUAGAGCGUCGGCCUGUGAAGGGUCCCGGGUUCGAUUCCCGGUCAGGGCA